UACGGGGGGGGCAAGCGUUGUUCGGAAUUACUGGGCGUAAAGGGCUCGUAGGCGGCCAACUAAGUCGGACGUGAAAUCCCCAGGCUCAACCUGGGAACUGCGUCCGAUACUGGAUGGCUUGAAUUCGGGAGAGGGAUGCAGAAUUCCAGGUGUAGCGGUGAAAUGCGUAGAUAUCGGGAGGAACACCAGUAGCGAAGGCGGCACCCUGGGCCGGUACUGACGCUGAGGAGCGAAAGCGUGGGGAGCAAACAGG
rnacentral:rRNA from 1 species